AAAUCAACUAUCUAUAGAUUUAGUUCAUAUGAUGAUAAAUAAGAAAUAAAGUAUCUAAUUUUAGAGAAUAAAAAUUAAUUUAUAAUCAUAUCACAUACCUGAAUCGCAGAACUUCUUCUCGAAUCCAGAUUUGUGGAUGCUUUCAGGUUUUGAUGUAGCCACGUAUGUAUCCGACCUUUACGGAUAUCUACAUGAGGUCUGAUCUGAUCGAAGAUUCUUUGUUCUCUCUGAGGUACUAGCUCUCUUGUAGAGAAUAUUUUUUUGAUGAUGGAACAUGAUCUCCUUCAAUCUUCAAGACAAUCUCAAGAAGGAAGAAGACAAGGUGUAGGAGGAAGAAGAUUUGGAGAGGAGAGAACCUUUCUCUCUUUCUCCCUUGAAUUUUUUCAUGCCCCC
rnacentral:lncRNA from 1 species